ensembl:piRNA 21ur-1567 ncRNA
UGGGAGAUCGAUGCUCAAGAG